rnacentral:lncRNA from 1 species
CAGAUCCAGAGGGAUAAAACUCUUGUCAGAAGUCACACCACAGAUUCCUGACAGAGGCAUGGCUAGACACGGGCCUCCCAGGUCAUAAACUUUUACAAUUUUCACUGCACUAAGGGUUUCCUGAUCCUAAAUGGUAUCAAGCAAUUAAUAAUGCUUAAAAGAAAACUGAAUGAAUCAUUGAUAACUAACCUGGUGAUAUUGUCAAUGAAUUAAGUUACUGAAUUUCAAAUGUCUGUUAUUUCUAAUCACAGGUCAGAUUCAAGUUGUUUUGGCUUUUACUACAAAAAGCAUCUUUACAUAUAUCUGCAAUUUAAUGGAUAAUUUAUUUUCCCUUUCCAUACAUCUGAAAGAAGAAACAUAAUUGGUAUGAACAGCACUUAAUUCCAGACUGACUUCUUUUGAACUGUAGAGACUGGAUUUCACCAUGUUGCCCAGGCUGGUCUCAAACUUCUGGCUUCAAACUAUCUGCCUGCCUCAGCCUCCCAAAGUGCUGGGAUUACAGGCGUGAGCACCGUGCCCUGCCUCUCUUCAAGGACUCUCUUUGCUACAUCGGCAUCACCUGGGAACGUGGUAGGGCUACAGAAUCUUGGGCCCCACCUUGGACCUACCUAAUCGUCAUCUUAUUCAUUGGUGUUCCCUUCGCCAGGUGAGUUUUGCACUGACUAAAACACACAGAUCUAUCAGUAAGAAAGUGUGAAGGCCUAUUUGAAAAUACAUUAAGUUGCUGUUUAAAUUAAUUUGCGGCUCUAUUAGAGGUAUAAAAGAAGAUUUUCAACUUGUUUUCUGCUGUUCUCUAAGCUAGUGGAAGCAUAUUUGUUGAAGUAGCUGGAAUUCAAUUUUUAAAACUAUUUUUGAAAUUUGGAAUAAUAAAAUAAAUUGUAGUGUGCGUGUGUGUUACAUUUGUAUUUUUCACAUUUUAUAG